rnacentral:rRNA from 1 species
GAUGAACGCUAGCGGCAGGCUUAAUACAUGCAAGUCGAGGGGCAGCAUGAUUGUAGCAAUACAAUUGAUGGCGACCGGCAAACGGGUGCGGAACACGUACACAACCUUCCAAUAAGUGGGGAAUAGCCCAGAGAAAUUUGGAUUAAUACCCCGUAACAUAACGAUGUGGCAUCACAUUGUUAUUAUAGAUUUUUCGCUUAUUGAUGGGUGUGCGGCUGAUUAGAUAGUUGGCGGGGUAACGGCCCACCAAGUCUACGAUCAGUAGCUGAUGUGAGAGCAUGAUCAGCCAAACGGGGACUGAGACACGGGCCCGACUCCUACGGGAGGCAGCAGUAAGGAAUAUUGGACAAUGGACGCAAGUAUGAUCCAGCCAUGCCGCGUGAAGGAUUAAGGUCCUCUGGAUUGUAAACUUCUUUUAUAAGGGACGAAAAAAGGUCUUUCUAGAUCGUCUGACGGUACCUUAUGAAUAAGCACCGGCUAACUCCGUGCCAGCAGCCGCCGUAACAC